UAAGUUAGUGGCGGACGGGUGAGUAACGCGUGGGUAACCUGCCUCACACAGGGGGAUAACAGUUAGAAAUAGCUGCUAAUACCGCAUAAGCGCACAGUGCUGCAUGGCACAGUGUGAAAAACUCCGGUGGUAUACGAUGGACCCGCGUCUGAUUAGCUAGUUGGUGAGGUAACGGCCCACCAAGGCGACGAUCAGUAGCCGGCCUGAGAGGGUGAACGGCCACAUUGGGACUGAGACACGGCCCAAACUCCUACGGGAGGCAGCAGUGGGGAAUAUUGCACAAUGGGGGAAACCCUGAUGCAGCGACGCCGCGUGAGUGAAGAAGUAUUUCGGUAUGUAAAGCUCUAUCAGCAGGAAAGAAAAUGACGGUACCUGACUAAGAAGCUCCGGCUAAAUACGUGCCAGCAGCCGCGGUAAUACGUAUGGAGCAAGCGUUAUCCGGAUUUACUGGGUGUAAAGGGAGCGUAGACGGUUUGGCAAGUCUGAAGUGAAAACCCAGGGCUCAACCCUGGGACUGCAUUGGAAACUAUGCAGCUAGAGUGUCGGAGAGGUAAGCGGAAUUCCUAGUGUAGCGGUGAAAUGCGUAGAUAUUCGGAGGAACACCAGUGGCGAAGGCGGCUUGCUGGGCUCUAACUGACGCUGAGGCCCGAAAGCGUGGGGAGCAAACAGGAUUAGAUACCCUGGUAGUCCACGCCGUAAACGAUGAUUACUAGGUGUGGGGGGUCUGACCCCUUCCGUGCCGCAGUUAACGCAAUAAGUAAUCCACCUGGGGAGUACGGCCGCAAGGCUGAAACUCAAAGGAAUUGACGGGGGCCCGCACAAGCAGUGGAUUAUGUGGUUUAAUUCGAAGCAACGCGAAGAACCUUACCAGGUCUUGACAUCUCCUGCAUAGCCUAGAGAUAGGUGAAGUCCUUCGGGACAGGAUGACAGGUGGUGCAUGGUUGUCGUCAGCUCGUGUCGUGAGAUGUUGGGUUAAGUCCCGCAACGAGCGCAACCCUUGCCAUUAGUUGCUACGCGAGAGCACUCUAAUGGGACCGCUACCGACAAGGUGGAGGAAGGUGGGGAUGACGUCAAAUCAUCAUGCCCCUUAUGACCUGGGCUACACACGUAAUACAAUGGCCAUCAACAGAGGGUCGCAAUACCGUGAGGUGGAGCCAAUCCCUAAAAAUGGUCUCAGUUCGGAUCGCAGGCUGCAACCCGCCUGCGUGAAGCUGGAAUUGCUAGUAAUCGCGGAUCAGCAUGCCGCGGUGAAUACGUUCCCGGGCCUUGCACACACCGCCCGUCA
rnacentral:rRNA from 1 species